rnacentral:rRNA from 1 species
AGAGUUUGAUCAUGGCUCAGGACGAACGCUGGCGGCGUGCUAACACAUGCAAGUCGAACGAAGAUAUAGAGUAGCUUGCUACGAAAUAUCUUAGUGGCGGACGGGUGAGUAACGCGUGGGCAACCUGCCUUACAGAGGGGGAUAACAGUGCGAAAGCACUGCUAAUACCGCAUAACAUCAACUUAUCGCAUGAUAAGAUGAUCAAAGGAGUAAUCCGCUGUAAGAUGGGCCCGCGUCUGAUUAGCUAGUUGGUGAGGUAAAAGCUCACCAAGGCGACGAUCAGUAGCCGAUCUGAGAGGAUGAACGGCCACACUGGAACUGAGACACGGUCCAGACUCCUACGGGAGGCAGCAGUGGGGAAUAUUGCACAAUGGGGGAAACCCUGAUGCAGCAACGCCGCGUGGAGGACGAAGGCCUUCGGGUUGUAAACUCCUGUCUUUUGGGACGAAUAAAUGACGGUACCAAAGGAGGAAGCCACGGCUAACUACGUGCCAGCAGCCGCGGUAAUACGUAGGUGGCAAGCGUUGUCCGGAAUUAUUGGGCGUAAAGGGCGCGUAGGCGGCGUCUUAAGUCAGAUGUGAAAACCCCGGGCUCAACUUGGGAACUGCAUCUGAUACUGGGACGCUAGAGUGCAGGAGAGGUAAGUGGAAUUCCUAGUGUAGCGGUGAAAUGCGUAGAUAUUAGGAGGAACACCAGUGGCGAAGGCGACUUACUGGACUGUAACUGACGCUGAGGCGCGAAAGCGUGGGGAGCAAACAGGAUUAGAUACCCUGGUAGUCCACGCUGUAAACGAUGGAUACUAGGUGUGGGAGGUAUCGACCCCUUCCGUGCCGCAGUAAACGCAAUAAGUAUCCCGCCUGGGGAGUACGGCCGCAAGGUUGAAACUCAAAUGAAUUGACGG